AUUGACGCUGGCGGCAAGCCUAACACCUGCAAGUCGAACGAGUGGCAGACGGGUGAGUAAUGUCUGGGAAACUGCCUGAUGGAGGGGGAUCACUACGGGAAACGGUAGCUAAUAGCUGUCACUGAAGGAGGGGCUUGCGUCUGAUUCGCUAGUUGGAGGGGUAACGGCCCACCUAGGCGACGAUCCCUAGCUGGUCUGAGAGGAGGACCAGCCACGCAGGAACUGAGACACUGUCCAGACUCCUACGGGCGGCAGCAGUGGGGAAUAUUGCACAAUGGGCGCAAGCCUGAUACAGCCAUGCCGCGUGUAUGAAGAAGGCCUUCGAGGUGUAAAGUACUUUCAGCGGGGAGGCGUUACCCGCAGAAGAAGCACCGGCUAACUCCGUGCCAGCAGCCGCGGUAAUUC
rnacentral:rRNA from 1 species